rnacentral:rRNA from 1 species
UACAGAGGGUGCAAGCGUUGUCCGGAAUUAUUGGGCGUAAAGAGCUCGUAGGCGGUUUGUCGCGUCGGAUGUGAAAACCCAGGGCUCAACCCUGGGCCUGCAUUCGAUACGGGCAGACUAGAGUAUGGCAGGGGAGACUGGAAUUCCUGGUGUAGCGGUGAAAUGCGCAGAUAUCAGGAGGAACACCGGUGGCGAAGGCGGGUCUCUGGGCCAAAAACUGACGCUGGAGGAGCGAAAGCCGUGGGGAGCGAACAGG